rnacentral:rRNA from 1 species
UACAGGGGGUGCAAACGUUGCUCGGAAUCAUUGGGCGUAAAGCGCACGUAGGCGGUUCGUUAUGUCGGAUGUGAAAGCCCUUGGCUUAACCGAGGAAGUGCAUCCGAAACUGGCGAGCUAGAGUACGAAAGAGGAUCGCGGAAUUCCCGGUGUAGAGGUGAAAUUCGUAGAUAUCGGGAGGAACACCGGUGGCGAAGGCGGUCAUCUGGCCCGGUACUGACGCUCAGGCACGAAAGUGUGGGUAGCAAACAGG